UAAAAACAUUAAGUUUCGGAGGUUCAGGCCAGUUGUGCCGUUGCGAGGCUGCUGCUGCGAUCGCUGCGGCGAACCUAGAAGUGUAUCCUGACGUAUAAAUUGGAGAAACCAGUGGUGCUGCCAGAAUUUUUUUGAGGUAGUGUCUGGGAUCCAGUGCAAGUUGAAUCAUUGUUCAGAUAAGGUGUAAUUGAAAAGUGACCCUCUCUUCAGAGAUGUCAAAAACAAACAAAUCCAAGUCUGGAUCUCGCUCUUCUCGCUCAAGAUCUGCAUCAAGAUCUCGUUCUCGUUCAUUUUCCAAGUCUCGGUCCCGAAGCCGAUCUGUCUCUCGUUCAAGGAAGCGAAGGCUGAGUUCUAGGUCUCGGUCCAGAUCAUAUUCUCCAGCUCAUAACAGAGAAGGAAAUCACCCAAGAGUAUAUCAGAAUCGGGAUUUCAGAGGUCACAACAGAGGCUAUAGAAGGCCCUAUUAUUUCCGUGGGCGCAACAGAGGCUUUUAUCCAUGGGGCCAAUAUAACCGAGGAGGCUAUGGAAAUUACCGCUCAAAUUGGCAGAAUUACCGGCAAGCAUACAGUCCUCGGCGGGGUCGUUCGAGAUCACGGUCCCCAAAGAGAAGAUCUCCAUCACCAAGGUCCAGGAGCCAUUCUAGAAACUCCGAUAAGUCUUCUUCUGAUAGGUCAAGGCGUUCCUCAUCCUCUCGUUCUUCCUCUAACCACAGUCGAGUUGAAUCUUCUAAGCGCAAGUCUGCAAAGGAGAAAAAGUCCUCUUCGAAGGAUAGCCGGCCAUCUCAGGCUGCUGGGGAUAACCAGGGAGAUGAGGCCAAGGAGCAGACAUUCUCUGGAGGAACCUCUCAAGAUACAAAAGCAUCUGAGAGUUCGAAGCCAUGGCCAGAUGCCACCACCUACAGUGCCGGCUCUGCAUCACGGGGCUCAGCAGUAUCUGAUCUGAGUCCUCGGGAGCGAAGUCCAGCUCUCAAAAGCCCCCUCCAGUCUGUGGUGGUGAGGCGGCGGUCACCCCGUCCUAGCCCUGUGCCAAAACCUAGUCCUCCACUUUCCAACACAUCGCAGAUGGGCUCAACUCUGCCGAGUGGUGGGUAUCAGUCUGGGACACACCAGGGUCAGUUUGACCAUGGUUCUGGGUCCUUGAGUCCAUCCAAAAAGAGCCCUGUGGGUAAGAGUCCACCAGCCACUGGCUCCACAUACGGCUCAUCUCAGAAGGAGGAGAAUGCUGCUUCAGGAGGAGCAGCCUAUACAAAGAGGUUCUGGAAGAGCAGAAGACAGAGAAUGGAAAAGAUAAGGAACAGAAACAAACAAAUACUGAUAAAGAGAAAAUGAAAGAGAAAGGGAGCUUCUCUGAUACAGGCUUGGGUGAUGCAAAGAUGAAAUCCGACCCAUUUGCUCCCAAAGCUGAUUCUGAGAAGCCUUUUCGGGGCAGUCAGUCUCCCAAAAGAUAUAAGCUCCGAGAUGACUUUGAGAAGAAGAUGUCUGACUUCCACAAGGAGGAGAUGGAUGAUCAAGAUAAAGACAAAGCUAAAGGAAGGAAGGAGUCUGAGUUUGAUGAUGAACCCAAAUUUAUGUCUAAAGUUAUAGCAGGUGCAAACAAAAAUCAGGAUGAGGAGAAGUCAGGCAAAUGGGAGGGCCUGGUGUAUGCACCUUCAGGGAAGGAGAAGCAAAGGAAAACAGAGGAGCUGGAGGAGGAGUCUUUCGGAGAGAGAUCCAAAAAGGAGGAUCGGGGAGGGACCAAGAGAACCGAAAGUGGGCACAGGGGGUUUGUGCCCGAAAAGAAUUUCCGAGUAACUGCUUACAAAGCAGUCCAGGAGAAAAGCUCAUCACCUCCCUCGAGAAAGACCUCUGAGAGCCAAGACAAGCUGGGAGCCAAAGGAGACUUUUCCUCAGGGAAGUCUUCCUUUUCCAUUACUCGAGAGGCCCAGGUCAAUGUCCGGAUGGACUCUUUUGAUGAGGACCUUGCACAACCCAGUGGCUUAUUGGCUCAGGAACGCAAACUUUGUCGGGAUCUAGUCCAUAGCAACAAAAAGGAACAGGAAUUUCGUUCCAUUUUCCAGCACAUACAGUCAGCUCAGUCUCAGCGUAGCCCCUCAGAACUGUUUGCUCAGCAUAUAGUGACCAUUGUUCAUCACGUUAAAGAGCAUCACUUUGGGUCCUCAGGAAUGACGUUGCAUGAACGCUUUACUAAAUACCUAAAGAGAGGAACUGAGCAGGAGGCAGCUAAAAACAAGAAAAGCCCAGAGAUACACAGGAGGAUAGACAUUUCCCCCAGUACAUUCAGAAAACAUGGUUUGGCUCAUGAUGAAAUGAAAAGUCCCCGGGAACCUGGCUACAAGGCUGAGGGAAAAUACAAAGAUGAUCCUGUUGAUCUCCGCCUUGAUAUUGAACGUCGUAAAAAACAUAAGGAGAGAGAUCUUAAACGAGGUAAAUCAAGAGAAUCAGUGGAUUCCCGAGACUCAAGCCACUCGAGGGAAAGAUCAGCUGAGAAAACAGAGAAAACUCAUAAAGGAUCAAAGAAGCAGAAGAAGCACCGGAGAGCACGAGACCGGUCCAGGUCAUCCUCCUCUUCCUCCCAGUCCUCUCACUCCUACAAAGCAGAAGAGUACACUGAGGAGACAGAGAAAGAGAGGAGAGCACCACAGGCUUUGACACAAUCGAGACUGGGGACAAAAACUUCGUGGUCAAGUGAAGAGGAGGCGGCAGGGCUCGAGGAAACUUUUUUCGAGCCAGAGGGAGAGGCUGGGGCAGAGGUAACUACUCUGGUAACAAUAACAACAACAGCAACAAUGAUUUUCAAAAGCGAAACCGGGAAGAAGAGUGGGACCCAGAGUACACACCCAAAAGCAAGAAGUAUUACUUGCAUGAUGACCGUGAAGGCGAAGGCAGUGACAAGUGGGUGAGCCGUGGCCGUGGCCGAGGAGCCUUUCCCCGGGGUCGAGGCCGGUUCAUGUUCCGGAAAUCCAGUACCAGCCCCAAAUGGGCCCAUGACAAAUUCAGUGGGGAGGAAGGAGAGAUUGAAGACGACGAGAGGGACAGAGAACGAGAAGAGAGGACAAUUUACAGCCCACAACUGAGUAGGGGCCACUCUGGACACGAUCCCUGGCCCAGGGGAGAGAGGCGCUGGGAAGAUGGCUGGUUGAGGAGCUAGACAGGAGCCUCAAGAAGAUUCUGAAAGUCCCACCCCCACCUCACUAGCCAUGCAGAAUCCUACUACAGCAGAAAGCAUCCCUGGCGCUGUGUCCCACUGGACAGAGGAGGCUGGCCAUGGAGCCUGGGGUCAGGCCCAGCUCUUGAGCAGAACACAACA